rnacentral:rRNA from 1 species
GCUAUCGGGGUGGGACUAAGACAUGCGAGUCGAGCGUCUCUAGCUAUGUUGAGACGCGGCAUACGGCUCAGUAACACGUAGCUAACCUACCCUUCGGACGAGGACAACCCCGAGAAAUUGGGGCUAAUCCACGAUAGAUGUGAUGUCCUGGAAUGGUAUCACGUCCAAAGGUAUAUCAUACAUGUUUGACAUACGCCAAAGGAUGGGGCUGCGGCUGAUCAGGCAGUUGGUGAGGUAAUGGCUCACCAAACCAUUGACCAGUACGGGCCAUGAGAGUGGUAGCCCGGAGAUGGACACUGAGACAAGGGUCCAGGCCCUACGGGGCGCAGCAGGCGCGAAACCUCCUCAAUGCACUAACGUGCGAAGGGGUUACCUCGAGUGCUAUCUGAAGAAGGUGGCUUUUCCUUGGUCUAAAAAGCCUUGGGAAUAAGAGGGGGGCAAGACUGGUGUCAGCCGCCGCGGUAACACCAGCCCCUCGAGUGGUGGGGAUGAUUAUUUGGCCUAAAGCGUCCGUAGCCGGCCGGAUAAGUUUCCCGUUAAAUCCAGCGUCUCAAGCGUUGGACUGCGGGAAAUACUGUCUGGCUAGAGAGUGGGAGAGGUCAGCGGUAUUCUGGGGGUAGGGGCGAAAUCCUUUGAUCCCCGGAGGACCACCAGUGGCGAAGGCUGCUGACUAGAACACGUCUGACGGUCAGGGACGAAAGCUGGGGUAGCGAACCGGAUUAGAUACCCGGGUAGUCCCAGCCGUAAACGAUGCAUGCUAGGUGU